CUCUGACAGACUGAGGCCUUGAUGUGUGUUUCCUCAGCCUAGCGCUGCUAACCUCCAUCUCACUGGGACUCUGACAGACUGAGGCCUUGAUCAACAACAAGGUGUUGGUGCCUCAACAGGUGGCCCAGGAUACGGAGCAGGUACGGGCACUGGUUCUGGGGAGCGAGCUGGGACAGCAUCUCCUAGGAUACCGGACCAUCAAGAAGGCCAUUCUGUUCCCUAGGACCGCCCUCAUCAACUUCCUCAUAGAGGAGUGACCACUCAACUCUGGAUGCUGAUUGGUGGACUGUCAUGUCAAUCAGAAGACCACAGCCACUCACAGACUUGAAGGCGGGGACAUCAUGUGAACGGAAGGAUGAAAAACUAUUUGUAAAUUAAAACAAUAACUAGUAUCAACAGACAUUUUUGUWAAAAAAAAACAACAACAAAAAAACAUCUUUGUGAAUAAAAUUAUAUAUUUUG